AGAGGUGGAAGAAACCCGAGACGCUCCAAAGUCAACGCAAGCAAAGGGGAGUGCGGGUCGGGGAGGAAUAUUCUUUUGGAAACGUAAUAUUGGUCUUGGGGCUCUCCAGCCCUUUGGGACUUCCAAUGAGAUCUUAGAAGCGGCAGAAGCAUCGUGAGGGCGGCAGCCCAGGGCCAGCCACGAUUUGAACGCUCUGCCUUGCAGCUCUUCUGGACCGAGGAGCCCAAAGCCCUGCCCUCACCAUUCACCAGAAUCUGUCUUAGGAAGCUGUUCUGAGGAUCUCCAUCCCCCCAGAAAGAACUGGCCGUUGUGGAAAUCCAAGUGCUGUGGGAAGAGCAGCAUGGAGGUGGGCUGAGGUUAGAAGGUGCAGAGCAUGGAAGAAGAUUGUGGGCUAAGUAUUGGACAUCUGUUCUUGAAUAGUCCCUGAGCCUGCCAUAGGAAAGGAAGUUCUCCUGGGUAAGUGAUUGGACUUUUCCUUCUCCUCUAAUAACAUUUUUUCUUGGGCUGUGGCCGAACCUUAGGAUUCUGGUUCAUCCCUUAUUCAGACCAGGU
rnacentral:lncRNA from 1 species